CUUUGGCUAUGUGUGCGUUAGCGAUAGAAACGGUUAGCUUUUGGCGAGUAUGCGCAGCGAGCCAAAACUAGUAGUGUAUAGCGCGACCUUUA
rnacentral:sRNA from 1 species